ensembl:lncRNA
CUGCAUCCGGGCGGCGCCGGGCUGCGGUGAGGCGGAGAGCGGCGUGCGGUGAGCGCGUGCGUAAACGUGGGAGGAUACAGGACAGGAGACCUGGAACGUCCGUGCCGUGAGAGACCGGCCGGUCCUCCUGCAGUCCUCUCACACCUGCAGGGUCAGAACAGGUGAACAGACUGAGACGGCUGUUGGUGUGCAGUCCCUGACAGGAGCAGCGGAAGAGCCUUAAGGAAGCGGGGCUCUCCCAGAAGAGAGAGGCACGCAAACACUGCUGCUGUAAAGCUUCAGGUGAUGGGCUGCGACAAUUGCGUGUGCAGCCCUGAGCUCCUCUGCACUCAGCGGUGAGAAACGGGACCCGCCAGAGAUCUGUCAGAGCGCUCCGUCUCUGCUGAGCGCGGUACCGACAGCCGCGCACCGCUCCGCGCCACUCACCGCGCCGCGUCCACCCGCAGCUCCUGGAGGGCCGUCCGCAGGCUGCGCUCCUCCUCGUCCUCGUCGUCGUCGUCGUCGUCCUGCUGCUGCUGCUGCUGCUCCUCCUCGUCCUCGUGCCGCCUGUUUGCAAGCCAAGGACACGUGAAAGGAACGUCAGCGGGACUGAGGCGGAGCUGCACCCAGCCUGUGGUGGGCGACCCAAUAAAAGCCAACUGUUUCGUAAGCGUGAUUCCUCGCUCCUCUCUCAGCGGGUAUUUUUUCGCCAAAGAGGUGUUGCUGAGCAGCAGGAUCCGUUCCUGAGGCAGCACGAACGAGCGGUGCCAAAGCUCGCCACUGCGCCCGGGAGUGCCCCGUAGCAGCACGGCAGGCUGCAUGAGCUCGGGAGCCCCUGAGGCGGAGAACAGCAACGCUCGGG